AAUUUCAUCAUGUUGAAUUUGAACCAUCGCCUUCUUUACAAACUAUGUUUUCAACUUCAGAAUCCCAACAAAGUCCCAAACCAUCAAUUGUAUCAGUCUUUAAGAUCACAACUGAUCAACUAAACACCCUCAAAGCCAAAGUAAAUGAAAGUUCAAAUAGUAAUGCAAAAUAUAGCACCUACAGUAUCUUAACUGCACACAUAUGGCGUUGCGCAACCAAAGCAAGAGACCUCUUAGAGGACCAACAACUCAAGUUAACCAUGCCAGUUGAUGGACGGAACAGAUUGCAUCCUCCCCUCCCACCUGGCUACUUUGGCAAUGUAAUCGUCAUGGCUGCACUCGUUGCCUUAUCUGGUGAUCUUCUAUCAGAAUCAUUCAUAGAUACUGUGAAGAGAAUUCACAAAAUAUUGAAAGAAAUGGAUGAUGAAUAUCUGAGAUCAAGUAUUGACUACAUAGAAAAAGCUCCAGACAUAAAUGUUAUCAGGCGAGGGCCACAAACUAUGCGGUGCCCAAACCUUAGUGUCAACAGUUGGAUAUGGUUGCCUAUCCAUGAUGCAGACUUUGGAUGGGGUCGUCCUAUUUUUAUGAGGCCGGCAAAUAUUGUCCAUGAAGGAAAAGUAUACAUACUUCCGAGCCCAACCAAGGGUGGUAGCGUGACAUUGGUGACACGUCUAGAGACAUCUCACAUGAAACUCUUUGGAAAGCUUCUUUACGAAUUCUAACAACACAAAGGGUUGCUCGUCACUAAUUGUUCUCCUUUUCAACCGAGUUUGGAUUCGCAGAGUCCAUGUCUUAGUUAUUUUAGUGGUCUCAAUUCUGUUUCCAUAAGUUGUUUUUUGAGGUGUUUCCAGUUGUAUUCUGCCAGUGUUUGAUUUAUGGUGUUUCUCAUCUUUGCUUUGUUUCUGGUUUGGAGAUUCCUUUUGCUAGUUAUGCCAAACUUGUAAUCCUUAUUUUUUAAUAGUAAUAAAUAAAUUUUGUUUCCUUCGUGAGUGAAAAAAAAAGCCAAAAGCAAUCUACAUAGGUUGAUGUCUUUCCAUAUCUCUUUCUUUUUGUUGUUCAUCCCCUUAUUCUAACUCUAGCCCAUUUGAAUUCGUCUUCUCUCACUAAGUUGUUUAGAUUGACAUAUAUCAUACAUUUAUAUUGAUAUAUAAUAUGUUCAUAUAUGUAAUGUAUGGAACAUUAUUUUCGAUGUACUUUAUUGUUCAUUACUUGUUUUGCAGCAGUAGGCAGCAUUCAUAUUAACGAGCUGCUGGGGUUUUUCCUUGCUUGCCCUUGGCAGUGAAACUGCAGAAGGAAUCAAGACGCAUGGUAUUUCAUUUCUUUUUAUUAGUAUCCUUAUUUGUAAAGAGAAAAGAAAAAAUAGAUGGAAAAUGAAACCAGCACUCAAAUAGUGAUGAUAAUGGAUAUCCUAUUACAAAAUACCCACAACUAUUUUAUCCGCUUAUAUAGAGUUAGAGUAUUUUAUAAUCAAAUUCGAGUAGAAUUCAAGUAUCACCCUUUAAGUACCUGAUAUCCGAACCUAAUUGACUAUACAAAAAAAACUAAAGACAUAUGAACAUUGUUAAUAGAUAAAUAUUUAAUAGAUAAACAUAAAAAACUAAAAACUUUUUCCCUUCCAUAUUAUGUAGUUGUAAAUGAACACAAAAGUGGUAAUCAAUUGUUAUUUUCCUCAAGAGAAAUUGGAAGUCUUCCUCAUCUUCUAAAGUUUGGCUAAAAAAUCAAAUAAUUCCAGUUAGAUCAACCUUUUAUACGUAAUGAGAAAUAAUUAUUUUCUUUCAUCAUUUUAUUGAUUUGAUUUUAAUCAAAAGAUUGAAAAAGGUAUACUCUCAUUCUAUUCACUCUAUUUAUACAUUAAUGAUUUUCAAUUUGGGUCAAUUUAAGAUAGUUUGGAUUAAGUUUAAAUUUUUAUAAACUAAUUUGGUAAAUAAAUCAAAAACUUCAACUUGCUUUAAAAUGUAUUUGUCAAAUCGAAAUACAUAUCGUUUAUUGAAUUUUUAUUUUUUUUAAUAUCGUAUCGUAUCGGUAAAAAAAUUUAAAAUAAAUUACAAAUAAUAUUUAUAUAUGAGAAAUAGAAAAAAAUUAAAAAUAUUAUAUUUAUCAAUAAAAUUAAAGAUUAUAUGACAUAAAUUGAAAAGAUGAUUAUUUUUUAAUUUAAACUCUUAAUAUAUUUCUUAAUACAUAAUAUAUUUUUUAAAUAAAAUAUACAUUUUUAUAUUAAUUUAUUGAUUAAAAAUUGAGAAGCACUUGAAAUCAAAAUGGGAAUUUAAUUUUUGAAUACUUUUUUAUUUAAAAUCAUUGAAACUUAUUAAAAAAAAUUUUAAUGUUUCAACUUAAAAAAUAAAUAAAUAAUUUUUUAAUAAUUAAUUAAAAUCAAAUUUAUAAAAAAUUUACCACCUGUAUUAUACUAUCCAUAGUACAAUACGGUUUUUAUAUUUAAUUAAAUAUAAUAUAAUUAUAAAUAUAUUUUAUUUUUUAUUAAUAUCAAUCAAUAUAGUAGUAUACGCGUCACAUUUUCCAAGAAGAUCAACUUCAACUGACAUGCUACUUUAAAUAGAGAAGUGAAGAGAAUGAGAAGGUGUGACAUGUCAACGUCGACUACAGGUGGCAUGUCGUUUUAAAUGUUGACUAGCAAAUAAAUAAUUGUAGCCUUUAUGUUUGAUCUCUCGUGGCUUGUCAACUACCUUAUAUGUGAUUUUACAGAUGGUUCAAAAGUUCCUCAACGACUUCCAAAAACAGGCUAUUCUGUAGGAAUUUCUUCUUAUCCUCUUCUGGGGUUACAGGUACAACUCAGUUUUUAUCAAACAAGAAUAGAAAAAAAAUAAUAAUAAAGUUUUUUUUUGCAUAUAAUAAACGUAUAUGUUUAUUAAAGAAAAAUAUUUUAAUUAGCUACUCACCUACUAUUAUUUUGAAAAAAAUUAAUGAUUGAAAAGUAAGGAUAUAUAGAGGGAGAAGUAGAAACCAUGCUACGAGCUAGUUAGUAAGGGAGUUUAGCUGACCACGUUUCAUUUUUCUUUCAAUUAUUCAAUUUAUUAUUUCUAGAUUCAUAAUUCAUUCCUCUAUGGAUACCUGCUAGCAAAUAUGAAUCUUACAUAUAAGAUAAGCAAUAUACCUCCACUUAUUAUAUUUCAAAAUUAAAAUAAAAUUUUUAAAAUUUAGGAGUAUUUAGAUUGUUUCAUACAUUUCUCGAUUAAAAACUUUGCUCUUUAGGUUGUGUGCUAAGUUAUCUAGUUCGAAAGUUUGUAUUAAAACUGAUACAUACACAUAUUUUUUUUAUGAAAAUUGCUUAUGAAUGUUUUUUUUCUGAAUUUUUUUAUGUCAUGUAUUUAACAAGAAGAAUUGCAUAUGAAUAUUGCAAUUAUUGGUAGGUAACCACUUUCAAAUGUGGAGGAAUUUCUCUUGGAGUUUCUUUUCAACACACACUGUAGAUGGUUCAUCUGGACUUCAUUUCAUAAAUAGUUGGGCCAACACAGUGCAAGGAUUGUCCUCUAGUAUUGCUCCAUUCUUGGAUCAGACCUUUUUUCAAGCCCGAAACCUAUCGGCAAUAAAAUUUCGUCAUGUUGAAUUUGAACCAUCUCCUCCUUUACAAACUGUAUUUUCAACGUCACAAUCCCAAUUAAGUUCAAAACCAAUAAUUGUAUCUGUCUUUACGAUCACAGCUGAUCAACUAAACGCCCUCAAAGCCAAAAUAAAAUGAAAAUUCAAGUAGUAAUAUUUAAAACGAAUUUGAGAAUUGAGAGGAUACAAAUUAAUUUUAAUUAAAUUUAUUUAAAAAGAUAACUAUUGAUUUUAUAGUUUGUGGAUAUGAACGUUUACCUUUAUUCUUAUAAAUUUAUGUCAAAAUUUUUAAAAAGUUAAUUUUUAUCCUUAUUAAUUAUUAUGCAUUUAAAUCAAUAUUUGUACAAAGUUAAUUUUCAAUAUAUUUUUACUUUAUUUAACACGACAUCUUAGAGUAACUCAUUUAUUUUUUUUUAUAAAUUAGGUUUUUAUUCAAGCUUAGCCAAAGGCCAAUUAGCCAUUUGGCUUAUUAGGUACAGAAGUAAGAACGAACACAAAAAAACCCCACUAAUUUCAACUAAUUUAGAUUGUGGGACCUCUCACUAGGGAACAUAUUCCUUCUUACAAGUUGUCUAGAUUUUAAUGACGUGUACAUCCUUUCCAGCCCGCAUGGUCCCUAUGGCACCCCUCUUCAAGCAUUCUAAAUUUGUUUUGGGAAUGUAGGCUUUUGAUCAGAUUUGUAGCCAUCAAUAUUUUUGAAACACUAAUAUCAACUUUAUGUAUUUUAUUUUUAUUUUCAUACAUUUACAUUAAAAUUGAAAAAUAUUAUUUGAUUUGACAUUAAAAUUUUUAAUUUUUAAUAUAAAUUAAAAAUUAUUAAUUAUAUAAAUUAUUAAUUUCGAGCUAGCAUAUAAAGAAUUUUCUGCUACCAUCCCUAAUUAAGAAAGAAGAAACACCAAGAUUAAACCAACUGAAGUUUUCUCUUUACCUUUCAAAAAAAAAAAAAAACAACUAAGGUUUUCUCUUGAGAACAAAAGCGCCCACAUUCACAAAAACCAUUUACUGAAGCUUUUUUGCAUUAACAAAAGAAAGAGGAGAGGGUACACGUGCAUAUGUGAGAAUUUAAAAUGAAAAGCAAAACCCAAAGCUCUUCCCAGAUUACCACACUGGCUGCUGAUUGUAGUGAUCCUUCUCCUUUUUCUUAGCAGCAGCAAGCCUUGCACUGCUUGCAGCAACCUCACUGGCACUUGCUCGGGCAGCACCAUCCAUCUCUUUACUAGAUUAUUUCUUCUUCGUGGAAACUACUUUUUCAGCCGCUCUUUCACAUCAACUGCAGAUGUCUCUUCUGGUUUCUCAGUUUCACUAGUUUCUUCGGCGUCAUUUUCAGCAUCAAUUGCCUUCAGGGUGGCCCUGCGAUGAUUCUUUCACCUCCUAUGACGAUUUAUCCUUAUUUUCUUCUUUUUGGCAACUUUUGCUCUCAGCAGGAGCAUUCUCUUUCUUUUCCAUUUCUCCAUUACUCUCUGCUUUUUUCCCCUGUGCAAUGCUCUCCCAAUUUCUUUCCCAUUUUUCUUGACCUUACUGGCACAUUGAAGAUAAGUGCCAAAUGAUACAGAGAAGCAUGACACCUUCCAUUAUCAUUUACAAAUUCAAUGGUCCGUUAAAAGCCUCUUGGCCGCAUAAAACUUCAUUUGUCCAAGGCAACCUUUUUCUUUUCUCGUGGCUGGAGAAUUAUUGCUUUAUUUUUUUUACAUGGCAGAGCUACUCCUGAAGGAUCCAAUAGCUUUAGCAGCAGCUGCCCUCAGGAUAUAUUGGUGAUAGAUUGCAGCAAAGGUGGCACCAAUGAAGGGUCCAACCCAGAAAAUCCACUGCAAGAAUUCAAGCACAACAAAUGUUGCAUUAAGCAUCAAUACUUCAGAAAGGUUGUCAUAAAAUUAAGGAAAAAUUAGAAUCAAUUGUUAGAGUGAAAGGUUCAUACAUGGUCAUUCAGUGGCUUGUCCUGCUUGUACAUAACAGUAGCUCCAAAACUACUCGCAGGGUUGAUACCGGUGCCAGUGAUCGGAAUAGUGGAGAAGUGAACCAUGAACACAGCAAACCCAAUGGGAAGUGGUGCCAAGACCUUAAACUAGAAUAUAGAAAAACAAAAUAGUAACUAAUAAAAAUGGAAAGUUUUUGUACACUUUAUGUCUAGCUACUUCUUAUUUGUGAUUUCAAAUUCAGAGCCACACAGUCAGUGAAUUUUGCGAUCAAACCAAAAUUAGUUAGUAAGAUUUCUACGGAAUUUGUACCUUAAUUUGAGAGGAUAAAAAAGGGAAAAAAGAAAGUGGGGAGUUGGUUGAGUUAGAGACAUACAGGGACGUGGGAGGCUCUAGCAUUCCUCUUGGGAUCAGUAGCAGAGAAAACAGUGUAGACAAGAACAAAGGUGCCGAUUAUUUCAGCAGUCAAACCGGUUCUGCGGCUGUAUCCACUAGCGAGGCUGUUGACUGCUCCUCCAUACUGGUUGUGGUAAGAUUUUUGGAAUGCCUUCGUCAGCCCACACCCACAGACGGCUCCCAAAACAUUGAGCAGCCAUGUACGAUACGGCUCGAACGAAAGACACCUUCCUAGCCAGGAACAUCCCAAAGGUCACAGCUGGGUUGAUGUGCCCUCCUGCAUAUUCAAUCAAAAACUGUUAGCCAUAUGCUAAAUCACCCAGUUUCCCUUUUUUAAUUGUAAACUUUUAUACUUUUUAACACUUUCUUGCUUCUGAAAAAACUUUUACUUCAGUGGGAACAUGUUCUUGGAAAACUAAUUUGGCAAAUGAGCUGUUUUUGGUUAAGCUUUCAAUGCAGCUUUUUGGCUUUACAAAAAAUUAUUAUAUAUUUUAGUAACAUCACUGAUAAAAUUAUUAUAUAUGUUUUCUCAAAAGAAAUAUUCGCACUUAAUUUUUUUACAAAAAUCAAAUUCUGUGCUAAGUGAUAAAAUCAUGAAGAAACUUUUUUGAAAUGGUUUACUAAAACAUGUUAGGAAAAUAUCCUUUUCAUCCAAGGACUAACAUAUGAUCAAUUACUCAGAGAAGAAGGUUGAGAGAGUUAAAAUUUACCUGAGAUACCAGCAGUGCAGUAAACAAGGAUAAAGAUCAUGCCACCAAAAGACCAAGCAAUGCCAAGAAAGCCAACACCGCCGCAGUAAUCACCGCCCUUGUAAGCCUGGGUCAAGUGUCCGAUCACUGUCGACACAGUAAUGUACAAAAAACAAGAGCGUGGCGAUAAACUCAGCUAUUAUGGCCCAGUAAAACGACCACUUUGUCAACUCCUCCACGCCGAUCAACGGAGCUGAUGGAGGAUCAUGGUAGUCCUUGGCUUGGAACUCUCCACCGACCUCUAUAGCCAUGGCCUCUUUGCGCUUAGAAAAUUCAAUGACAAUGUGAUCAAAAGGAGAUAGAAGCUUGGAGGAGAGCCUUUCUUUUGUGAAAUAGAUGUGAAGUGUUUUUGUGAUGGGAAGUAUGGAGAAAGUGGAGUGGGGGGUGGGAGAGUUGACUGAGUUUUAACUAGCCUAGCUUUGCAAAAGUCCGCUGCUCCCUCUUUCUGACUCCUUCCCUGUCCUAUCUAUAAAUUUUUAUCAAGUGUUUACUCGAUAAUGUAAACAAUAAUUAUUAAUAAAGAAAAAAGAAAAUUAAACACUUUUCAUUCCAUCACUUAUCUUUCUAAUCUUACCUUUUUUUUUAAAUAAAAAAGGUGAAAAUUUCGUUAUGCACAAUUAGCAAUAUAACAUCAAUGACGGGAGGCUGAAACAAACCUCCAUACUCAAUCCACAAACUAAAGAAGAACAAAAAUAAGAUCUGCAGUGCGUAUAUUCACCCGAGUUCCCCAGAAAAACAAGCAUUUACAAUCCCCCAUCAAACUGCAAGGUUAGCACAACCUCUUCCUAGCACAUCAGAGGCAAACUAGACAAUCUCACAACAAAAACAGGACUAUUCCCUGUACAAACACCAAAAACAUCCACAGACACUCUACAAAACAAAGCACCACGCAGCAAUUCAAAAACGUAUGUAAGCGCCUGCAGACCGCAACAGUCGCAAGGAAUGCUAAGUCCCAAUUCUCCCCCUUCACUGUUUCUCUCCACUAUCCCCUUUAUUCUUCCCUUUUUCAAUCACUUGUCUUUUAAGUGUUUCGCUCUCAUCUUAAAAUUGAGAAUCCAAUAUCAUCUUUAAGAUUGUUAUCAAAAAUUAAAGCAGAUAAAUAACUCAAACAAGUGUGAGACGUGAUCACUCUCUUUAAAGAUAAUUUUCACUCUUUUAGAGUAUAAAAUUUGAUGCAAAAGAAUUAAAGUGAUUAUCUCUCAAGAUUUAAUAGACUUUUUUUAAAUAUUUUACAUAAAUUAUUAAAAAUACAAGAGUAGCAGAAAAAUAAAGAAAGAAAGAACCCAACAACUCUAUUUUCUAUCUUCUUCGGUAAAAAAGACACGGUCAAAGUAAGAUAGAAAAUAUUACUUGGACUUAGUCCACGUGUAAACUCACAUGUAUGGAAAAAACGAAUAUUUUCUUAAAGUUUUGCUCGAUCUCGUGUGUGUGUGUAAAACCACUUUCUUUUCUAACUUUUAACAAGUUAGGAAUAUCAAUGGAUAUCCUGUUACAAAAUACCCGUUAUAUAAGGUUAAGGUAGGUUUGGGACAAGUUCAAGUAGCAAUUGUACUACCCAUAUAGGUUUGGGUAGGAUUCGGGUUCUAUCCCUUAGGUACCCACUAUUCGAACUUGAUUAUGUUGAUAUUCAGAUUUAGACGGGUACUUACCUCGAAACUGAACCUUAUACUUAUUUAUAAAUCUGGCAAUUUCAAACACAACACGUUAACACGACAUAAAAAAAUACGGAAUUAAACAAGUUUGGGUUUAGUUUUAACGUGUUUCGUAUCUAAUCGUGUCUGACAUGUUUAAGAUAUGAAAAUUUUCAUAUCUUAACGUGUCUGAUACGAGUAAUACGUUUAAAACACUUUUAAACACGUUUAAUUAAUCGUAUUAAUCAUGUUGUCAUGUUUAAAUGUACAAAUGUAUUUAAUCGUGUUAUCGUGUUUAAACAUGUAUACAUGACACACUUAUCAACUUGUUAAAAAUUAUUAAUCAAAGACUAUUUUAACCUUACUUAAAUAAUUUUAAACAAUUAUUUUAAUAAGAUUUUUAAAUUUUAUAAAGAUAAUAAUGUAUUUAUGUCAUGCCCAAAUCCUAAUUUUAAAUUUUGUUUUGUCAUAUUUGAUAUUCUUGUUAUUUUGUUUUCUUCUAAUUGUUUUUAUAAUUAUUAAUUUUAAAUUUAAAUAAUAAAAUUAUAUUUAAUUGUAAAUAUUUUUAUUUAAUCGUGUUAAUCGUAUUGUGUCAUAUAUUGACACGUUUAACAAACGUGUCUAAACGUAUCGUGUCGUAUUACACGGUAAUUAAACAUAUACGUGUAGGUAUUUUAAAUUUAAAAUAUGAAUAGUAUUCGUAUCGUAUUUAUAUUUAACCUUAAUGUAUUUUGUAUCUGAUCGCGUCUGACACUUUUAAGACACAAAAUACAAAUUACCAGGUCUACCUAUUUAUAUAAUAUUUUAUUAUUAUUUAUAUAAUAGAUAAUAGAUAAUUAAAUAACAUUUGUUAAAUUUUGUUGGUGUUUGGAUUGAACUUGUGUAAGGAUUAAAAAUAAUUCACAUUUUUACCAACUUUGUGAAUAAUUCAUUUGGAUAGAAAUUGAUAGAUAUAUUAACGAUAUAUGAUUGUUAGUCAAAUUAUUAUGUGAUGUCAUUAAUAUAUUUAAAUUAAAAAUUUAUUAAAUUAUUAAUUAUGUUUAAAUAAUAUGAAUAUCAUAUCAUAAUAGAAAGAAUAUAAUUACUAUUAUAUAUAUAUAUAUAUAUACACAUUUAAUAUAAAUAUAUUUCUUUUUAAUUUUGUAUUUUACAAAAAUUAUAAUUUAUAAAAUUAUUAGUUAUAAUAUAUAUACUUUUGUUUACAUAAACUUAUAAAUAUAUGCCUAAAAAGAAGUUGUGAGAUUAUAAUAAUUUUACAAUUUAUUUUGGUUUUUAAUUUGAUAUAAUUAAGGAAAAACGUAUAGAGAUAAUUAAAUUAAUUUAUGAAAUUAUAAUUAUUGAUCAACUGUAAUGUCUUUAUAUAUAUAUAUAUAUACUUUAUAUAUUAUGUUAAUUUAUAAAAAAUAUAAUUACUACUAUAUAUAUACUUUUAAUAUAAACAUAUUUACUUCUAUUUUGUGUUAACAUUACAAAAAUUAUAUUUUAUAAAAUUAUUAAUUAUAAAUAUAUAUACUUUUAUUUACAUACACUUAUAAUAUAUGUCUCUAAAGAGAGGUUGUGAGAUUAGAAUAUAAUUAUUAUUUGUUUGCUUAUAUAAAUUUAAAUUAAACAAUGAUUAUUGUAAACUUAUAAUUUAUUAUUUAUUUGUUUUUAUAAAUUUAAUUAUUAGUGAAUUAUAUAGAAUAUGGAUAUAAAUUGUGAACUAUAAUUCAAUUGUAUAUGGAUAUGGAUUUGGGAUAGCUAUGGAAGAAUUUCUAAUUGCAUAAUGAUCAAUGUAAAUUGAAAAUUGAAGAAAACAAUGAAAUGUGAAUCAAUGCACACCAGAUGACUGAUCUGUUUAGCCGACAUUUUUUUUUUCAUUUUUCUUUCAGAUUUUCAUGUGGAAUGAGUAAUUGAAGCUUCAGCUUCCAUAGGAACACUUUUUGUUUUUCAUUCGUUUCCUUUCUCAAUACAGUUUCUAGGCUUUAGAAGUAGCAAGCUAUCCAUAUUCGCUAGGCCCGAAUCAUGAGUUCUAUUGAUUUCUCUGUUUUCUAGUUUUGCCAUCUUUGUCAGAUCUGAUACUGGAGUUCUACUGGAUCUAUGUUAUCUAUAGGGGCCUUUCCUUUUCCUUUUGCGCCUUGCUGAAACACUAUCUUCUUUAUAUAUACUGUAAAAAUGAAUGGUUUGGGUACAGAAGAAUCUGAUCAUAACUAUAAAUUUAUGUUCAGAUGUCAAACAUGACAUAAGUAAAACUUUAUUGCUCUUUUUUCCCACUACAGAAUAAGAUAUUGAACAUAACAAGGGAAAUAUUACAGAUGCAAGAGGCUAUGGCCUAGGAUAAACCACACUAAGGGAAAACACUGGUAUAACAGAUUUUGAAUGUGUGCCAUGUGAAGGGGCUUAAUUCUUCACAGUUGUCACAUACUUCAGAAGCAUUUGGACAUCAUCUGAUAUUCUUGGAUAGAAGAAACAGAGAAGGGGAAUUGAUGGAAAUGGUAAUGGCUACAAAAAAGAGAUGGAUGGAUAAUGGUAAAGGAAUUAUCAUAAUACAUGAUGAGAACAUUGAAGAAAAAAAGGGAAAUUUUACAUGAUAAAGGAGUUGGUGAUCUAGAAGAUACUUAAAGGAAAAAUAAAUUGGGUAGGAAAGUUGUAAGAAGAAGAAAAGAAAUUUUAGAUAAAAGAAGUUGCUAUGGUUUUUAUGAAGAACUAUGGCUAAAAGCCCUAUUCAGUAGGCAAGGAAUAGAAACUAACAUAGAGUAAGAGAAAAGAUACGAUAAUCGCAAAGUUGUGUACUGAUCUGUUUCAUUAAUGAUAAACACAAGGCUUAUAUACGAAAUAUGCAUGAAGAACACUUGUAAAAUAGUAAAACAAGUGUUAAGCCUAAUUACAUGCACCUGAACACAUAUGGAAUAGGAAUGACACAUAAGCAUUUUUCAUGACCAGUACAAUGAAGCAAACUGAUAUAAAAUAUUAAACAAACUUAGUUAAGAUGUUUUCCACGCGCUGACUGCAUGCAAGCCUUAACUUCAUAACACUCAUUUUUAAGACUUGUACCCAGCACACUCAGUUUGCUUCUGAGGAAUUCGAGUCUUCGCUUAGGCAGUAUCUUCGUCAUUAUAUCUGCUAAUUGGACCCCGGAUGGACAGUACUGCACUUUUACAUCUCCUUUUUGUUCAGCAUCCCAGAUAGCAUGGUAUUUAACUUGAAUAUGCUUUGUCUUUCCAUGAAAGGCAGAAUUUUUGGUCAAGGGGAUGGUUGAUUUUUUAUCAACGAUAAGAGCAAUAGCUUGUAUAUGAGGAAGUUGCAAGUCAAUUAAGACUUUUCUCAACCAAAGUGCCUAAUUUGAGGUUUUUGCAACUGUUAUGUAUUUAGCCUCCGCAGAGGACUGAGCAACCACAUUUUGUAUAUGUGUGUUCCAUGGAAAAAUCCCAUUUCCAAGUGAAAAAAGUAACCUGUGGUGCUCUUACUAUUUCAGAAUAGCCGGUGAGAACUAUUUCAGAUUGUCGAGAGAAAUGCAGGUCACAAUUUAGGGUACCCUUGAGGUAUAUGAGGAUUCGGUUUGCUGCAGCAAGGUGUAAAUUGGUAAGCUCCUGCAUGAAUCCGGAUAAUAAGCUGACAAGAAACAUGAUGUCAGGACAAGAUGAGCAGAUUGGGUCCUGGUACCUCCAUCCUCUUUGGUUGAUAUUCUGAUUAAGGAUGGCCUUCCUGCACCACAUUUAAGAGAGGAAGUUGGGAGACAUCGAGGAACCCUUGUUUUUCUUUUUCUCAAUUUGUCUCUCUUACGUGUUUUUUUUUUUUGGUAUUUUAUCUUAAUUUAUUGUUUAGGGUAUUUAUCUUAGUUUCAGAAUGUUAAUGUAAAGUUGUGUGAAAGAAUAUGUGAAAAUUAUAUUAUAUUUAUAUUAUGAUACUCAUUUUGGCACCCAUGGCAAGAUUAUAUAAAUUGUGCAUUUAUAUAGACAUUGUUAAUAGAUAAAUAUAAAACUUUUUUCCCUUCCUUGUUAUUUUCUUGUUAAUGAACAAAAAAAAUACUAGCCUUGAGCAUCAAUUGUUAUUUUUCUCAAGGGAAAUCGGACAUCUUUCUCAUCUCCUAAAAUUUGGUUAAAAAGUCAAAUGCUUCCAGUUAGAUCAAUUUGUAUAUAUAACGAGAAAUAUUUAUUUUCUUUCAUCAUUUUAUUGAUUUGAUUUUAAUCAAAAGAUUGAAAUAGGUUUACUGUCAUUUUAUUCAUUCUAUUUAUACAUUAACGAUUUUCAGUUUGGGUCAAACUAAGAUACAUUGAACUAGGUUUAAAUUUUUAUAAACUAAUUUGGUACAUAAAUCAAAAACUUCAACUUGCUUUAAAGUAAAAGUACUUACUUUUUCCGCUUAAUAAUAUUUUUCAGAAACAUUAACAUCAAGCUGACAUGCUCCUUAAAUGUAGACAAUAAGGAAAAGAUUGACACGAUUAAAGGCUACGCCACCCAUCAUUUCACCGACCUUUACAUGUUGACUGGGCAAAAAGAUAAUUGGAACCGUUAUGUUCUUGAACCUUUGUAAACAAGUCUCUCCUUUUUUUUUUUCAAAUCCAUUCUCUCUGUCUCUCUCUAUUCUGAGGAACUUUCUUGUUUUAUUUUAUUUUUUCAUCUUUGUUUUGUUCAAUUCGCUUUUUCACCUCUUCGUCGUCUGUAAGUAAGCUUGAAGCAACGUCGAGAUUUCAACACUCACUGCACAGUCUCCUCUCUUCACUUUCCCUCUUCUUUGUUUAUCUUACGACCACUAUCUAUUCUCAAGGUUUCGUUAUAAUUUCCCACCAAUAUUUAAAGCUUCGUUUCUUUCUCCUGUUAUGAGGUAUUGUUACUAAGCUUUGAAGGUUUUGUAUACCAAAACAGCAGAUUCAUGAAUUUCUUCUUUUUUAUGUUCAUUGACUCAAUAAUUAAUUGUAGGCGGUUUAAAGAUGGAGGUUACCAUGAAGGAGUCAAUAAUGGUAUGUCCGGCUGAAGAAACUCCAAACCAAAGGCUAUGGGUCUCUAACUUGGACUUUAGUGGUGACAAGAUACCAUAUUUGUACUGUAUACUUCUACAAGCCAAAUGGUUCUUCUAAUUUUUUUGACACAAAAGUGUUGAAGGAGUCUUUAGGUAAGAUUCUCGUGCCAUUUUACCCCUUAGCAGGAAGGUUGGGAUAUGAUGAAAAUGGAAGACUUGAAAUAAUCUGCAAUGCGAAGGGAGUGCUAUUCAUAGAGGCUGAAACUACUUCUAUCAUGGAUGAUUUAGUUAAAGAAUUUAAAGAUGAUUCAGAAGGUCCUCAACUAGUUCCAAAAAUAGACUAUUCUGGACGAAUUUCUUCCUAUCCUCUACUCGGGUUACAGGUACAAGUUAGCUUUCACCAAACAAGAAUAAAAAGGAAAAAAUUAAUAAAGUUGCUUUUUUGCAUAUAAUUAACUUAUGUGUUUAUUAAAGAAAAAUAUUUUAAUUAGCUGCUCACUUAAUACUAUUUUGAAAAAAUUAAUGACUGAAAAGUAAGGAUAUAUAGAGGGAUAAGUAGAAACCAUGCUAUGAGUUAGGUAGUAAGGGAGUUUAGCUGACCAAGUUUCAUUCUUCUUUCAAUUAUUUAAUUUAUUAUUUCUAGAUUAUAUUUUGUCAUAAUUCAUUCCUCUACAGAUUGCUGUUAGAAAAUAUGAAUGUUACAUAUAAGAUAAGUAAUACACCUCAACUUAAUAUAUUUCAAAAUUAAAAUAAAUUUCUCAAAAUUAAGGAGUAGUUAGAUUGUUUCAUACAUUUAUCAAUUAAACUCUGCUCUUUAGGUUGUGUGCUUAGUUUUCUAGUUCAAAAGUUUGUACUACAAAUGAUAAACACAUUUUUUUUUAUGAAAAUUGCUUAUGAAUUUCCUUUUUCCUGAAUUGCUUUUAUAAGCCAUGUAUUUGACAAGAACAAUUGCAUAUGAAUAUUGCAAUUAUUGGUAGGUAACUACUUUCAAAUGUGGAGGAAUUUCUCUUGGAGUUUCUACUCAACACACAUUGGUAGAUGGUUCAUCUGGACUUCAUUUCAUUAAUAGCUGGGCCAACACAGUACGAGGAUGCUCCCCUAACAUUGCUCCGUUCUUGGAUCGUACCCUUCUUCGAGCUCGACACCCACCGACUCCAAAAUUUCGUCAUAUUGAAUUGAACCAUCUCCUUCUUUACAAAUUAUGAUUUCAACAUCAAAAUCCCAGCUAUGUCCCAAGCCAUCAAUUGUAUCUGUCUUUACAAUCACAACCGAUAAGCUAAAUGCCCUCAAAGUCAAAGUAAAUGAAAAUUCAAAUAGUAAUACAAAAUAUAGCACCUACAGUAUCUUAACUGCACACAUAUGGCGUUGCGCAACCAAAGCAAGAGACCUCUUAGAGGAUCAGCAACUCAAGUUAAACAUGCCAGUUGAUGGACGGAACAGAUUGCAUCCUCCUCUCCCACCUGGCUACAUUGGCAAUGUAAUCUUCAUGGCUGCACUCGUUGCUUUAGCUGGUGAACUUUUAUCAAAAUCAUUCAUAGAUACCGUCAAGAGAAUUCAUAAAAUAUUGAAAGAAAUGGAUGAUGAAUAUUUGAGAUCUGCAAUUGACUAC
rnacentral:lncRNA from 1 species